rnacentral:rRNA from 1 species
AUUGAACGCUGGCGGCAUGCCUUACACAUGCAAGUCGAACGGUAACGGGCCUUCGGGUCCCGACGAGUGGCGAACGGGUGAGUAAUACAUCGGAACGUGCCCGAUCGUGGGGGAUAACGAGGCGAAAGCUUUGCUAAUACCGCAUACGAUCUACGGAUGAAAGCAGGGGACCGCAAGGCCUUGCGCGGACGGAGCGGCCGAUGGCAGAUUAGGUAGUUGGUGGGAUAAAAGCUUACCAAGCCGACGAUCUGUAGCUGGUCUGAGAGGAUGAUCAGCCACACUGGGACUGAGACACGGCCCAGACUCCUACGGGAGGCAGCAGUGGGGAAUUUUGGACAAUGGGCGCAAGCCUGAUCCAGCCAUGCCGCGUGCAGGAUGAAGGCCUUCGGGUUGUAAACUGCUUUUGUACGGAACGAAAAGCCUUCUUUUAAUACAGGAGGGUCAUGACGGUACCGUAAGAAUAAGCACCGGCUAACUACGUG